GAUGAACGCUGGCGGCGUGCCUAAUACAUGCAAGUCGAACGAACAGACGCGGCUCUUGCUCCUCUCACGUUAGCGGCGGACGUGUGAGUCACACGUGUAUAACCUACCUAUAAUACUGGGAUCACUUCGAGAAACCGGAUCUAAUCCCGUAUAAUCUAUUGAACCGCAUUGUUCAAUAGUGAAAGACGGUUUUUCUGUCUCUUCUAGCUGCAUCUGCGCCGCAUUAGCUAGUUGUUAAGGUAACGGCUUACCAAGGCAACCAUGCGUGGCCGACCUGAGAGAGUGAUAGGCCACACGGGAGCGGAGACGCGGUCAAGACUACUAAGGGAGGGAGCAGUAGGGAAUGUGACGCAAUGGGCGAGAGCCUGACGGAGAAAGGCCGAGUGAGAGAUGAAGGUCUUCGGAUCGGAAAAAUCGGUUAUGAGGGAAGAACAGAUGUGGAAGUAAAUAUGCACGUAGUGACGGUACUUAAUCAAAAAGCAACGGCUAACUACGUG
rnacentral:rRNA from 1 species